rnacentral:rRNA from 1 species
CCUACGGGUGGCAGCAGUGGGGAAUAUUGCACAAUGGGGGAAACUCUGAUGCAGCAACGCCGCGUGAGUGAAGAAGUAUUUCGGUAUGUAAAGCUCUAUCAGCAGGGAAGAAGACGUCGGUACCUGAAUAAGAAUCACAGGCUAACUACGUGCCAGCAGCCGCGGUAAUACGUAGGGGGCAAGCGUUAUCCGGAUUUACUGGGUGUAAAGGGAGCGCAGGCGGCAGUGCAAGUCUGGAGUGAAAGCCCGGGGCCCAACCCCGGAACUGCUCGGGAAACUGUGCGGCUAGAGUACUGGUGGGGCAGGCGGAAUGCCUGGUGUAGCGGUGAAAUGCGUAGAGAUUA